rnacentral:rRNA from 1 species
AGGGUUCGAUUCUGGCUCAGGAUGAACGCUAGCUACAGGCUUAACACAUGCAAGUCGAGGGGCAGCAUUGGGGUAGCAAUACUCAGAUGGCGACCGGCGCACGGGUGAGUAACACGUAUCCAACCUGCCGCUUACUCGGGGGGUAGCCUUUCGAAAGAAAGAUUAAUACCCGAUGGUAUAAAGAGUUCGCAUGUUCUCUUUAUUAAAGAAUUUCGGUAAGCGAUGGGGAUGCGUUCCAUUAGAUAGUUGGCGGGGUAACGGCCCACCAAGUCUACGAUGGAUAGGGGUUCUGAGAGGAAGGUCCCCCACAUUGGAACUGAGACACGGUCCAAACUCCUACGGGAGGCAGCAGUGAGGAAUAUUGGUCAAUGGACGAGAGUCUGAACCAGCCAAAAGUAGCGUGAAGGAUGACUGCCCUAUGGGUUGUAAACUUCUUUUAUAAGGGAAUAAAGUGAGGGACGUGUCCCUUUUUGUAUGUACCUUAUGAAUAAGGAUCGGCUAACUCCGUGCCAGCCGCCGC